rnacentral:rRNA from 1 species
UGGGGAAUAUUGCACAAUGGGCGAAAGCCUGAUGCAGCGACGCCGCGUGAGGGAUGACGGCCUUCGGGUUGUAAACCUCUUUCAGCAGGGACGAAGCGAAAGUGACGGUACCUGCAGAAGAAGCACCGGCCAACUACGUGCCAGCAGCCGCGGUAAUACGUAGGGUGCAAGCGUUGUCCGGAAUUAUUGGGCGUAAAGAGCUCGUAGGCGGUCUGUUACGUCGGCUGUGAAAACCUAGGGCUCAACCCUGGGCCUGCAGCCGAUACGGGCAGACUAGAAUUCGGUAGGGGAGACUGGAAUUCCUGGUGUAGCGGUGAAAUGCGCAGAUAUCAGGAGGAACACCGGUGGCGAAGGCGGGUCUCUGGGCCGAUAUUGACGCUGAGGAGCGAAAGCGUGGGGAGCGAACA